AUCACCUGGGGGUCUUGUUAAAAUGCAGAUUCUGGUUCAGUAGGUUUCAGGUAGGGAAUGAGAUUCUGUAUUUCUAACAAACUCCCAGGUAAUGUUGA
rnacentral:pre_miRNA from 1 species